AGAGCGAACGCUGGCGGCAGGCCUAACACAUGCAAGUCGAGCGCCCCGCAAGGGGAGCGGCAGACGGGAGAGUAACACGUGGGAACGUGCCCUUUGGUUCGGAACAACACAGGGAAACUUGUGCUAAUACCGGAUAAGCCCUUACGGGGAAAGAUUUAUCGCCAAAGGAUCGGCCCGCGUCUGAUUAGCUAGUUGGUGAGGUAACGGCUCACCAAGGCUACGAUCAGUAGCUGGUCUGAGAGGAUGAUCAGCCUCACUGGGACUGAGACACGGCCCAGACUCCUACGGGAGGCAGCAGUGGGGAAUAUUGGACAAUGGGCGCAAGCCUGAUCCAGCCAUGCCGCGUGGGUGAUGAAGGCCCUAGGGUUGUAAAGCUCUUUUGUGCGGGAAGAUAAUGACGGUACCGCAAGAAUAAGCCCCGGCUAACUUCGCGCCAGCAGCCGC
rnacentral:rRNA from 1 species